GAAUGUAGAGUUCAAAGAUAUAUGAUACAUUGAUACAUAUGAUCUAUGCUUGAUGAUGGUGAUUUCAAUUAGUUGGAAGUUUGGAACGAUAUACUGUUUCAUGAAUCAUGAUUCUGGAUUCAAUGAUUAAGUAUUUACUAGGUUUUAACCCGCGGUACACCGCAGGACGAUUUUUUGACUAAAAUUUUUAUAUUUAAAUUGUAUUUUUUUUUUUAAUUUUGCUUAAUGUUUAAAAUUGUGUAACUGUAUUUUGAUUGUGAAUUUUAUUACUUAUAAGUUCGUUGGAUAAUUUUUGGUAACUAAUAUUUUUUUUAAGUUGUA
rnacentral:lncRNA from 1 species